rnacentral:antisense_RNA from 1 species
CCUCGUCUAGCCUGGGUUCCAGUAUCUAAUUUUUUUUGUUUGUUUGUUUUAACUGACAAACUCAUUUCUCUACUGGGACAGGAUGCUGUGCUGGCUGGAAGUUCCAUUUCUACAGCAAGAAUCCUAUCUGGAAACACAGAAGUUGUCCUCUAGCCACAGCAGCUCGAACUUUUUUGAUUGUCGUUGCUGCUUUCUCCCAUCACCCCCAUCCCCUUUUGACAAAGAUCCAACUGUAAAAAGUCUUACGUAACAGUUCAGGACUACUUCGGUUCUUUUACUGGAUCAUAUAAAUCUUUCGCCUUUUAAAUCAUGUAUUUAAAAAAAAAGAAAAAAGAAAAACAAAGAUUUCUUUUAGAUGCAGAAUCUACCCACAUUUGGCUGAAAAUCAGAUGGAAGAAUCCACAGAGGAAAGGAAGGAAAGGCGAACUGUCCUGUGGAAAGCACAGCAGCAGGGAUAGUAGAAAGUAACGGGCUCUCAAUCCGUGGUGGAGGUGGUCACUUUGGAGGACAGAUAAGUCAUCCUCAGAGAACGAACACAAUGAAGGAAAUUCCAGCCUACUCAUGUUCUCCUCUCAAGCUGUACCUCAACAAGAUCCAACUGGACUCUGUGAUCUCAUGACCUGUCAAGGGGCCUGGCAUGGAGUAGAUAAUAAAUGAUUUUUUAAUCAAA